rnacentral:rRNA from 1 species
AUGAAUACAAAUGGGUGUUUUAGUGAUUUAUUAUGGAUGCCUCAUAGUCAACAUAAAAUAUCCAAAGCUUGGGAAAAUCCUAAUAUUUCCUUGAACGUACGGUGUCACCGUGUUGGCAUCCCAUUUGAUCCUCUAUGUAGCCCAGCUUUAGAGAACCUUGGUUUUUAUCAGAUUGCAAAGAUGAGGAAAAUCAAUGUCGACAAAUACUUGAUAUCAGCAUUGGUGGAACGUUGGCGGCCCGAGACAAAUACUUUUCACUUACCUGUAGGAGAAAUGACUAUUACACUGCAAGACAUCAGUUGUUUGUGGGGGCUGCCUAUCCAUGGUAAACCACUUGUUGGAAUAGCUGAUGCACCAUGGUCGGAAUUAGUUGAGAGGUUGCUUGGGAUUCCCGUGGAUGAACAACACAUGAAACAAAAGAAAAGGCGAAAAGGUGAUGAUAAUAUUGUUGUUAGGGAUUCACAAUACUCUCUAAAUUUGGGCAAACUACGAGAACGCUUCCAUGUGUUGCCGGAUAAUCCAAUGGAUAGGGAGAUUAAUUGGCAUGCUCGAGCACUUGUUCUAGAAAUCCUUGGCUCCAUAGUCUUUACGGAUACAUCUGGAGAUGGAGUGCCAGCUAUGUAUCUCCAAUUUAUGCAAAAUUUAGGACAGCCAACAGAGUAUAAUUGGGGAGCAGCUGCUCUGGCUCUGUUGUACAGACAAUUGAGCAUGUGGCCUUUAUUGCUGCUGCAAUUAUGGUCUUGGUCCCGUUUGCCACUUGGUCGUCCUAAAGUUAUUUUUGAGAAGCCGAAAGGAGAGGAACCUGAUGAAGAGGUAGAUGAAGAAGUACAUUUGGAUUAUAAUCCUAUUGAUUUGAUUCGAGAAGGUGCAGUUCAUUGGCAACCAUAUGAUGAUCUUCUGGAGCAGAUGCCCAUCCAAGUUCAUGAUGAUUCUGAUUGGUGGUUUUCUAGAGUACCACUCAUGCAUUUUUGGAUUGUGGAGUUUCACUAUCCAGAUAGGGUUAUGCGGCAAUUUGGAUUAAGACAAUGCAUUCCACCUUUUGUUCCACGUGGUGAGGCAGAGGUUCGGAGACUGCGAAAAAUUAAGCAUUCUGCAGGAAAAUCGCAUAACUGGGAGGAAUUCCAUACCAAUUAUGUUCAAGAAUAUGAUCGCAUUCAAGCAAGUGUGUUGCCAGAGGAAAUUCCCUUCGAUGGGUUACGUGAGUUAAAGAAUGCCGCAUGGGGGAUCAAAUGUGCUACUACUAGGGGAUGCAAGAAGAUAGGGAAAUCUGUAUUGAGGUCCUGUGUAGGAAAUUUGUUAGAUCUGAACUUGGAGCCUAGGCUGCAAAGCAUGCUCACUGAGGCUAGGUUACCACUGAAGAUUGAAGAUAUUCCAUCUGACGAUGAUGUUUCUUAUAUUGCUCACCCACCAAGCCCCCCAAAAGAGAGCAACUCUGAUGUGUUUAAUGAAUGA